UUUGGUUAGCAUGUUCUAAACGACACUUGAGCCUAAUUCUCUCUUCUUCAAUUAUUCCUUUGUCUUUCCGUCUCUCGCUACCAUGGCUCUUAUUCACUUUGGGCUUAUGAGCAUGGCUACUGCAAGUGGCAGUGGCAAAUCUUUUAAUGCUUUUGCAAGGCAAAAGGGUGUAGUUGAAGAGGUGAAAUUUCAACCUUUAUGAUUCUUUUCUUGAAUUUGGUUUCUGAGUUUUUUCAGAUUUUAUUUUUCUUUUUUUAAUGGAAUGGAGAUUUAUUGAUUUAGGGAGCGUAUUUGAAUGAUUGUGUUAUUUUGGCUUGUGGGUUGCUCCAAUUUGAACUUUUUUGUAAUUUGUAAAGAAAAAGUAAAGGAUUCAUGAACAAGUUUAUGAAUCCAGAGCUGGGUGGCGGUGGCAGUGAUGGUGGAGGCAGAGAGAUUUCAGAGAUAGUAACAGCUAAUCAUCAAUCGCUACUUUAUAGAGGGCUAAAGAAACCGAAGAAAGAGAGAGGCUGCACUGCUAAAGAAGGUAUAAGCAACAUGCCUCCUUGCGCAGCUGGUAAACACAGUUUUGUUUACUGUGGUGUCACUAGGUACAUAUAUGUGUAUUUUUGCUGAGUAGAAAAUAUAUAGCUUUUGGUUGAAUUUAAUUAAAUUUAACUGUUAAUUAGUUAUAGCUUGUUUCAUUGUUCUAAAAGCAGCUGAAAGAGAAGCAACUAGAAAAGAUCAGCAGAUCUUAUAAAAGAAGAAGCUAUUGAUGCAUCAGAAGCCAUUAAAUUUGUUGUUGUCUCGGACUGACGAAGGAGGUCAAAACCCAAUUUUUGGCUCUUGUUGACAAAGAAGGUCUAAGACAGAGACAAACACAGGAUAAUGCUUUUGGUUUUGUGAUUCAUGGAAUACAUAUGGAUGAAUUGGUCGAUAUGAGGCGGUGCCGUUUAGAAUAUGCUAACUAUAGUUGAGUUAGCUAACUUCUAUGGGUCCCACGUUUAUUAUAUUUUAAUAUCAAUUUCGACUGAAUUUGUAAUUAGGGUGCAAAUUUUACACAAGUUUAAAAUUAGGGUAUCUAGAGGGUUAAAUUCGUUUUAAGGUGCAAUUGUUAUAAGUCGGAAAAUUAAGGGUAUCUAAAAAUAGUUUAGUUGGUAAAACAAAAUGUUGCUCACCUUAAAAACAGCUGCAUAAUUGCCUGCGAAUAUGACAUGCCUUCAAAGGGCAAUUUAUUAUUAA